rnacentral:rRNA from 1 species
AUUGGUCAAUGUACCCAAGUCUGAAACAGCCUUGCCGUGUGCAGGAAGACUGCCCUAUAGGUUGUAAACCGCUUUUGUACGGGAACAAACCCUUCUACGUGUGGGAUGCUGAGUGUACCGUAAGAAUAAGGAUCGGCUAACUCCGUGCCAGCAGCCGCGGUAAUACGGAGGAUCCAAGCGUUACCCGGAUUUAUUGGGUUUAAAGGGUGGGUAGGCGGCCCGUUAAGUCAGGGGUGAAAGACGGCAGCUCAACUGUCGCAGUUCCUUUGAUACUGACGGGCUUGAAUGCGGAUGAGGUAGGCGGAAUGAGACAAGUAGCGGUGAAAUGCAUAGAUAUGUCUCAGAACUCCGAUUGCGAAGGCAGCUUACUAAGCCGUGAUUGACGCUGAUGCACGAAAGCGUGGGGAUCAAACA